rnacentral:lncRNA from 1 species
UUUUUUUGUUUUUUUUUUUAAUAUUUUAUUUAUUUAUUCAUGAGAAUACACAGAGAGGAGAGAGAGAGAGGCAGAGACACAGGCAGAGGGAGAAGCAGGCUUCACGCAGGGAGCCCGACGUAGGACUCGAUCCAGGGUCUCCAGGAUCACACCUGGGCUGCAGGCGGCGCUAAACCGCUGAGCCACCUGGGCUGUCCGAGAACCCAUUUUGAAUGUGAUGCCAAAAUACUUCCUAAGAGCCCACAUCAACUUCUGUCCAGUGAUGAGUUGAAAGAUGAUUAAUUAGCUUAAAUAUAAUUGAACACUAGUAUUAUUUGGGGGCCCAUAUAAAUCUAUGAUGAGAAAAGAACUGAAGACACUUACAUAUUUUUCAGUAUUUGGGAUGCCUGGGUGGCUCAGAGGUUUAGCCCCUGCCUUCGGCCCAGGGUGUGAUACUGGAGUCCCGGGACUGAAUCCCACAUCAGGCUCCCUACAUGGAGCCUGCUUCUCCCUCUCUCUGUGUCUCUUAUGAAUAAAUAAAUAAAAUCUUUAAUUUUUUUUCAAUAUUUCUUCCAUGCUGUAUAAUUUCUAUGGAUCCUAUGAUCUUUGAACUGAAGAAACAGAAAGCAAUGGAAUGCAUAACAGUACAGUAUAGUGAUGAGUGUAGUGGCUAGAUAUCACUCAUCUACUGAGCACAGAAAACACAAAACCUAUAAGCCUCUAUAGAACCACAAGGUAAAAAUAACCUGGUCUAUGAUAUAUAAUGGGUUUAAGGGGUCUCGUGUACCAGUAGUUUUGUUUUAUUUACCCUGGGGGCUUAAAUAGAGGCCAACUCCUACCCCUCAUCUGCAUUUUUCUAAGACUCUAUGCAUAAACUUCCUUAUGAUAAUGAUAAUUAUAAUAAUAAUGAGGAGGACUAGUAAUAGUAAUAACAAUUACUGGAUGUUUUCUAUAUCUCCUAUACUGUUCUGAAUGUUUUAAAUAUGUUUACUCAUUUAAUCCCUAUAAUAAUGCCCUGUAGUAGGUUAAAAUUAUUUUUCUCAUUUGCAAAAUGUGGAAACUAAAAGACCAGCUAGCAUUCUAAACUUGCCCCAAAUCUCAUAGUUCUAAGUAGCAGAGAUGGGAUUUAAACCCAGGUAAUCUGAUUCCACAGGUGACAGUCUUUAAUCAUCAUCUUUAAUCAUUUAAUUAUAUAUUGCUCAUCUAUGUCUGCUGGUGGUUAUUUACUUCACUCAUUUCCACAAUCACUACCUCUUGUGAUUCCUCUGUCAUUGAUUUCUAGCCUGAUGAAGUAUCAGGAUCACCUAGAGACAGCAGAAUUCUCUCUUCAAGAUACUCUGAUCCAUACUAGACUGAAUAAUUUCAAAAAGCACAAGUUAAUCUGGAGGCAGAUUCAAAGACCCAUGUUUGGAAGCCAUUGAUUUAGAACCCUUCUCUCUUGACCUUAUAUAUCAAAGACACUAUCCAGGUUCACAGAAGCCAAUAGAGGAGGAAGGACACAAAGCAUAGCCAGAUAUAUUGGUGAAAUCAGCCUGUUAAUCAGCCUGAAAUCAGCCUGAAGUCUUUGCAUCUUCUUCUCACACUAUUAAAUCCUUGAGGACAAGAACAUAGCAUUGCUCAGAUUUGACCUUCUAUGAGUGAGACUAUGAGACUAGUGCUUGAUUCAUAGUAGAUGCUCAGUUAAUACUUAAUGCCUAGGUUUCUGGGUGAAUCCUUUUUUUUUUUUUUUUUUUUUUUUUUGGUUUCCGGGUGAAUCUUAUUGAAAAAAACGACAGUAAAAUAAUGGUUUUCCAAAGCACUAAGUUUUCUGACUAGUUAUCACCUAUUGGUCUGAUUAUAAAAGAAUCAUUACUUUUCCCACAACAUUGUAAAUGGGACGUAGUAAGAGGGCUUAUUUACUAUAUUGACACAAAGGAAGAAAUGGGAGCAAAGGAGGAAACCAUGGUUAAAUCAUGCCUGGUUAGACAAACUACACAUCAAUGUAGAGAUCUAUAUUCAUUUCACCACAUUCAUUAAAUCAAAUGAGUACAGCUUUUUAAAAAUUCUUUCAAGGUUGGCUUCAUAGGACCCUCAAACGAAUUUGCCCACUCAUCCCCC